AUCUCAUGGCAGAGGGAAAAAGAGCAAAGGCAGAACCUUGUGAUGGCUCUUAGAGUUCCUGCUUAGAUAAGGGGAAGAAGGUGGACUCCAUGGCUUAGCUGAAAGCCAGCUCGGUACUCCCCUCAAGCAGCCUGUGCAUCACAGAUUCCUGCCAGGCCCUCCGGAGCAUGUACCCCACGCCCUGGCCCAAGGUCUCUUCCCUCAGCGCUUUCUCCGAAAAGGGCUGACAUUGGACUGCUGGGCCUCAGCAUGAUUGAAACCUGGGGAGAAGGGCCAGUUCAGGAAGGAAAGCAAGGUCCUGGGCCUCAUGCAAAGAAAAGUGUCCUGCAAGUGAAUGCAUAUAUUCGUGCUAUAUGGACUCCACGUGGAAGAGCCAGGCUGGCGGACAUUGUCACCGACCACUUGAGGAAUAGAAGCAAAGACCUCGAAAUCUGCAAAACGCAGCGAAAUUGAUCUCGAAAAGAAUAUCCCAGCAUCUGAGGUAGAGAAAUUGGAUUCCAAGCCACAGAGCAUGGCAGGACGGCAUCCAGAAGGCGGGAGAGACCAAGGGCUUCUGCCAAAGAGGACGGCAGCCCAACGUUCCCGUCGAGACCAAAGGUGGGA